AAGGUUAUAGUGUUUAUGGCACAGAUAUCUUUUCUAAUAAAUAGUACAAACUGAAAGGACCAAACAAAUGUCUAAAUGUCUGUAUAAGAACAAAAUUGUACGAGGCAGCUUUAAACUCUAUGGUAGCAUAUGUUUUUACACCUCCUGGUCACAUAACUUUAAAAAACUAAAAAUCAUUAACUUUACUAACUUCUGUCUACUUUGUUACUGUGCUCCCUCAGACUCUGGAUGGCUUUGUGUUUGUUGUUGCCUCUGACGGUAAAAUCAUGUACAUUUCUGAAACAGCAUCAGUCCACCUUGGCCUGUCACAGGUGGAGCUGACAGGAAACAGCGUAUUUGAGUACAUCCACCCAUCGGACCAUGAUGAAAUGACAGCAAUUCUAGGUCUUCAGCAACCCCAGCACCAUCACUUCUCUCCAGAGUAUGAAAUUGAGCGUUCCUUUCUUUUGAGGAUGAAGUGUGUUCUUGCCAAACGAAAUGCAGGACUGACACAUGGAGGAUAUAAGGU